rnacentral:lncRNA from 1 species
AAUCAAUACUAAUAGGAGUAUAGUAGCCGAACUUUCUCUAUAUAUAAUUAUAUAUAAUAUAUAUUUUAAUUAUAAAAAAUAAUAUAUAUUAUGUAUUUUAAUUAUAUGUAUAUAGAAUUUAGAUUAUUCGGCCCACAAAACCAAACAAGCAAAAUCCUACUCUAAUUGCUCUCUCUUUUUCACUCACUCAUAGAGUCACUUUUCUUAAUUUUUUUAAUAUUAUAAUAUCGUAUUUCACGCAUUCAUUUUGUAUGUUGAGCUAUUAGACAUUUUUUGUAUCGAAUUUUAGAUAUAUUUUAUAAAAAUUAAACUAUAGAUUGCACGAUGUUAAGAAUUUCAAGUAGCUCGUUUAGGGCUCGAGCUAGCUUGACUCGAAAUUAGGCUUGCUCGAGCUCGGCACGAAUUAAUUUUAAACCGAGCUUGAACCUAAAUUUAGGCCUGAAAUUAAUUUCAAGCCAAGCUUGAGCUGAGGUAAGCUCGCUCGAGCUCGGCUCGUUUCCACCUCUAUUUUUAAUAGGUUAAAUUAUAGAAAACCCCCUAUUAAUACCCGUCUUUUUAUUUUCCCUCAUUGUCAUUCAGAAACCUACACUUUGCCCUUUUAAAAAAUAAAAAAUGUUCACUUCAACCAUUGCCGUUAGUGUUCCGUUUAUAUCAUAUUGUUUAUAUCCAAAAUACUCCCGAAACCCUCAUCUUCCUCCUCCUUCCUCACCGACAUCAUCGGCCGCGUCGCCUCGCCCUCGCCCUCGUGCAUUUCUCUGUCCGUGCCUAGACACACGCCCUCGCCCUCCUCCGCUGCCUGAAUCUCGCCCUCUCCCACCUCUCCGCCCAUACUCACCACGAUCUCUCCCCUAUAGUCGCUGAAAUAGAGGGGCGGCAAGGGUGCUGGAGGAGUAGGGGAGCAGGUGGAGGAAAUGAGUCGGAGCUCGGGUCGAGCGAGGCGUCGGUGAAGGUGCGGGAUGAGCAGGAUUCGAAAGAAGACGAAGAAGAUGAGGACAAUUUGGUCAUUUUGUCACACCGUACCUCCCUGUGAACAUUUUUUAUUUUUUAAGGUAUCGUUUGGUUCGGGGAUAAACAAAAAGUGGUUAUUCCAGGGAUAGAUAUAAAUUGAGGUAUAAACGGAGAUUAGAUCAAUUUUGCGUUUGGAUGAAGAUUGGGUUAUUCUUAGGAAUAAGAAGAAUAGCGUUUAGUUAGGUAAGAUGAAACAAGAAUUAAAAUGGGUAGUUAUAAAUAAAAAAUAAUGAUAUUACCAUUCUUAUUAUAUUUAAAUUUAAAAUUUAAAAUUAUAUAUAUUUUUAAAUUUAAAAUUUUAACUUUUAAAUUUUAAUAUUUGAAAUUAAAAUUUUAAAAUUUAAAAUCUCAAAUUUUAAAUUCAAAAUUUUAAAUUUUAAAUUUUAAAUUUCAAACUUUAAAUUUAAGACCAAAUUUAAAUUUGAAAAAUAUAAAUGGAUAUAUAAAAUUUAAAUUUUUAUAAAUUUAAAAUAUGAAUUUAAAUUUAAAUUAAAUUUUGAAAAUAAGAAUAGGGGUGGGAACAAUUAAUAAAAAUAAAUUUAUUAUAAUAAUUUUAAAUUUGAUAAUAUAAAUUUAUAAUUUUUUAUUAUUAAUAAUUAUUAAUUUGUAAAAUUCUACUUAAACUUAAAUUUAAUAAAAAUAAUAUUUUAUAAUAUUUAAAUAUAAUUUAUUAUAAAAUUUAUUAUAAUAUUAAUAUUUAAAUAUAAAUAAUAUGUAUUAAUAUAGUACAAUUAAUAAUUUUAUAAUAAAAAUAAUAUAUUAUAAUAUAUAAUAUAUUAUAUUUAUAUAAUUUAGUUUUAAUUUAAUUUAUAAUUGUAAUAAAGUUUGAAAUUAAAUAUUGAAAUAGCACUAUUCCAUCCAAACGGUGGAAUAAGAAAUCGCAAGCUAUUCCGGGAUGGCCGGAAAUAGCAAGAUUUGACCGGGAUAAAAUAUUCCGGUCAAAAAUUAUUUCGUUUGGUGGAAUAGAGGGGAUAACUUUCGUUAUUCCUGCUAAUACCGCCAACGAAACGGAGCCUAAGUGGGUAAACUGUAGGUUUUGAAUGACAGGGGGGAGAAGUAAAAAAACGAGUAUUGACAUAAUGAUUUUUUAUAAUUUAGUUUUUUUUUUAAUAUUAGUGCUCUAAAAGGAAUAAAUCAGAAAGUUGAAAAAUUUUUAGCAGUAUAUAAGUAGUUGCCUCUCUCUGUUAAGUGAGUCAGAGUUUGAAAGAGU